rnacentral:lncRNA from 10 species
GUUUCCCAAUAAGAUCUCAGGAGUUGGGCGGGUGAGUUUAAGCAUGCGCACUAAGAGAGGCAAAAUGGCAGUUAAACUGGUUUCCGACUUUCCUCUGGAACGCUCGACUGCUUAAGAGAAAAAUGCCUCAAAUGAGCAUGUGCACAACUCCAGCAAACACGCUGGACAUGCGGCCUCUCCCAAGUGCUGGCAGGCCACUGCACAUGUGGACCCACGGGAAGAAUCAGGAGAGAAGAAAUGCAAACCCCAGAGUCAUGCCAAGAUGUAAUGGUGAAGUUGAGAUGAUGAUCAGAGUCUUACUUCAGACAAAUCAUGAGUCUCAGAGGAAGUGAUGACAGAGAUGUCUGUGGAAACUAUUGAAGAGGAAGGCUUUGCUAAAUCUUCAUGGAGGACAAGAAUUCCGGCAAAGGCGCCACUGGCCACAGAGGUUUCCAGGAAGAAAAUUGACACCCCAAAGAUCUCGUAACAGUACCCCACA